rnacentral:tRNA from 1 species
GGGCCUGUAGUAUAACUUGGUUUAGUAUUCCAGUUUCGGGAGCUGGUGAUCGGAGUUCAAAUCUCCGCGGGCCCA